GUGGUCACUUUGGCAGCACAUAUACUUAAAUUGGAACAAUACAGGUAAGAUUAGCAUGGCCUCUGUGCAAAGAUGACAUGCAAACUCAUGAAGCAUUCCAUAUUUUA
ensembl:snRNA U6 U6 spliceosomal RNA